rnacentral:other from 1 species
GGUCCUCUACCAUGUUCGUGAUGACGAUGCGAUAAUUUGGUGAGCCGAUACCUGCCCGUUGGGCGCCGGUAUUAAAGAUCCCGGCCGCGUGUAUAGCCGUUGACCGACUCGUUCGGCGGCGGAUCACACAACCCGGGGUCCGGGUGCCCCCUUGCAAUGACGGGCUCUCAAAAAAAGCAUCGCCACGGCAUUGCGGUGGAGGACUU